AGGAGUCAAUUUUUCCACUAACUUCGAUGGAAGACCAGGUUGUUACAACUCUACUGGACUGAGAUCAGUUUAUGGUUGAUGAUGAAGAAAGAUGAGUCCAAGCUGAUCGAACACCAUCAGUCAGCUGAAUCUUUCUUGCUCCCAUAGCAAAGACUCGGCAACCUUAGGCACCUAGAUUUGGUGAUGUGGCUGUCCCGGUCCACGUGAAUGUUGGCUACUAACACCAAUAAUAUUGACUUUAAACAGACACUCAAAGGGAAAGCUGGGCGGGAGGAGAAGAUGGUGACGCAAGGCAGCACGCGCAGCUCUCCGGUGAAAUGAUAUCGUAUUUGUAAGUAGGAUGCUGUGCAUAAUUCUGAUUUGAUGGAUAGAGACGUGAGAAGGCACAGAGGAACAUCUGGAGAAAUUUCUGAUAUGCCCGGUUCGCUGCCGCUGCUACUGUGCAAUUGAGAAUCUCCACAUGGAAGGCCCCAAAAUCCCCGGCUUUGCCUGCUGCUGGCAACCGAGGCUGAGGUCGAAGCGUUCGGCAGAGAUGGUGCUCGGUACUUGGUGUCGGAGGGCUGAUCGGAGCUUGAAGUUUUCGGACGACUCAGAGUCGGACUGUGGUCAGGCAUGGCAGGGAAAGUUUUCUUCCUUCUCCCGUCUGCGUGAGAUGUGGGACAUUUCAAAAGACUUUGAACAUUUUUACUGUGCCAUGGCCUGUUCUUCAUCAAGUUAUGGUAUUGUUGCACUGUUGUAACUAUAUGUUAUAAUUAUGUGGGUUUUGUUAGU